UAGAUACCCAGGUAGUCCACGCCGUAAACGUUGGGCGCUAGAUGUGGGGACCAUUCCACGGUUUCCGUGUCGCAGCUAACGCAUUAAGCGCCCCGCCUGGGGAGUACGGCCGCAAGGCUAAAACUCAAAGGAAUUGACGGGGCCCGCACAAGCGGCGGAGCAUGCGGAUUUAAUUCGAUGCAACGCGAAGAACCUUACCAAGGCUUGACAUAUACGAGAACGCUCUAGAAAUAGAGAACUCUUUGGACACUCGUAUACAGGUGGUGCAUGGUUGUCGUCAGCUCGUGUCGUGAGAUGUUGGGUUAAGUCCCGCAACGAGCGCAACCCUCGUUCUAUGUUGCCAGCGGUUCGGCCGGGAACUCAUAGGAGACUGCCGGGGUCAACUCGGAGGAAGGUGGGGAUGACGUCAAAUCAUCAUGCCCCUUAUGUCUUGGGCUUCACGCAUGCUACAAUGGCCGGUACAAAGGGCUGCAAUACCGCAAGGUGGAGCGAAUCCCAAAAAGCCGGUCUCAGUUCGGAUUGAGGUCUGCAACUCCG
rnacentral:rRNA from 1 species